AAUAAAUAUAGUUUUGUACUGCCCAUGUCUAGUCUAAUGACUAUUUAUUUUAUUUGAAAAAAGUUUAUGAUCAAUAUAUUUUUAUUGUUAUUAGAUGAUAAAACAUAAAUAGUACUUUAUGUGUGACUAUUUUUUAAAAAAAAUUCAUAAAUUUUUCAAAUAAGACGAACGGUCAAAUGUUGGACACGGAUACCCACGGCUGUACUUAUU
rnacentral:pre_miRNA from 1 species